rnacentral:rRNA from 1 species
GCUUGUCUCAAAGAUUAAGCCAUGCAUGUCUAAGUAUAAGCGACUAUACUGUGAAACUGCGAAUGGCUCAUUAAAUCAGUUAUGGUUUAUUUGAUGGUACCUACUACUUGGAUAACCGUAGUAAUUCUAGAGCUAAUACAUGCAGGAAGACCCGACUCACGAAGGGUUGUAUUUAUUAGAUUUAAGGCCAACCGAGCUUGCUCGUCUCUUGGUGAAUCAUGAUAACUUCACGAAUCGCAUGGCCUCGCGCCGGCGAUAUUUCAUUCAAAUUUCUGCCCUAUCAAUUGGCGAUGGUAGGAUAGAGGCCUACCAUGGUGUUAACGGGUGACGGGGGAUUAGGGUUCGAUUCCGGAGAGGCAGCCUGAGAAACGGCUACCACAUCCAAGGAAGGCAGCAGG